UAAUUAUCUUUCUCUGUCUUUUCUUCUCACAAUUUCUCUUCUCAACCUCACUCACUCUCUUCUCUUCUCCCACUCCAGAUUCUCCUCUCUCCCCUUUUUAGUUCACUAUUGCUGGGAAAUCAGCUGAUUAAUUCACCUCGGUGAAAUCAAAUAGAGAUGCGAGCGAUGGAGGCUGACAAGAGUGACAAGGAGGAAUCUCACGUUCUUGAGCUCAAUAUCAUCUCGGCGCAAGGACUCAAAGAACCGACGGGAUUGCAGACUUUGUCGAUUCCUCCAACAAGCUCCGUACUUGGAUUGAUCGUAUCAAAAAAUUCUGAUCCGUAGCACUCUUCGGGAAAACCCCGUCUCUCCGGACGCCGAAAGUCCCGUUCUACUGAUCAGUGAAGAUUCUGCUGCACUUGAAUUAGUUUUGGAAAAUGCAUUGACGCCGUCUCUAGCAUCUCCGAUUCACUGGAGGUUGCUAUGUUAAUGCUUAUCCUCAUAUUUGCGACGGUACAUAGUGGUUUAGCUAGUCUCAGGGAUAUAGGAGAUAAACUCAUAGUUCAACGAGCAUUUUGUGUUCUAUUUGCUGGUAUCUCUGUUCCUUUAGCUAUUGUGAGUACGCUCUUUCUCUGGAAUUAUGUCUCUAUGUUAAUGGAAAAAAAAGACUUGUCUGAGUUUUUCGAAAUCAAUGCAAUGCCUUCUUCUACUUUCAGGUUUUCUUUAUAAACCAUAGAUACGACGGGUCACAGUUAUGGUAGCUUCAGGUUAUUCUAGGAUAUUAGAGUGAAAGAAGGAAAGGAGAGGUGAGGCCGAAGUCAACAAGACAAGGCCGAUCAUCUCCAAGUCAAAGAAGAGGAAGAAGAGGAGUGUCAAGGCCAAUGACAUCAAGACAAGGCCGAAGACAACUCCAAGAUCUCUCAAAGAAGAUAAAAAGAAGACAAGGCUGAAGAAGCUAUUGAACAAGUCUAGCCUCGGCCUAAAGAAGAAGAAGAACUGUACGGCUAAGUCAACUACAAGAGGUGUCCGUACAAGUCUAAGAUUGUAUAAGGCCGAGGCCCAUUAGAUAAGAAGAAGAAGAGGACGCCAAUAAAGCCUAAAGAAUGCAAGGAAUAAGGCCCAUAAGUGACAAGAAGAGGAGGGAAACGAAUUCAAAUUCAAGUCUGCUCUCACAUGUGACCGUUUAUGAGCUGUCACUUUCAGCUCUUAACAAGACAAAAACGCUCGUCUCUUUAUGUCAUUCUCAGUCUUGGCUCAUGUGUUAGGGCUUCCUCUCUUCCUUUCUCUCUAUAAAAAGAGAUGUAACCGAGCUUGUAAAUGUUACACAGAAUCAAUGAAGUGAUUUCUCUCUUUUAUCUUGUUCUUCAUUCUAUUUCGCAAUGUAGAGUCCUUAGAGAAAAUCGUUUGUAGUGAUUGCCCUUAAGGCAGCCUUAUCACUUCAUAAACACUCACUUAACUCUUCUUUAUUUGCUUCUCUCAUCUAGAUUACUGAGUCUUGCAUCUCAAGAACACAAACUCUCUAUGUGUUGUGUUCAUUGCUUAGAUUAGUCUCAAACUAGAUGCUUUCCCUUUAUAGAAUCGUUUUCUUCCUCAUAGAUUCGGUUCUACUUAUGUUUAUUGUGUGGAUUCCAUCACAAGUUGAUGGUCUCUUCUCUCUCUUGAGAUCGAGUUUAUUUUGUGUGGGUUAAGUGGUUUCAUUCACCAAGUGAAUGCUUCCACCAUUUGUUGAGCUUUGUCUCAUAAAUCCCAACAUGGUAUCAGAGCCAUCUUUCUUGGUUCCAUCUAAAACUCGAUUCUCUUUCUGUUUCUGUUUUUUUUUGUGUUUUGUGUUCUUCACUUAGUCCAAUGACUUUUCACGAGGACAAAGGUGGAGUUCUCUUUCUGAUUUAUUUUCUCUUAUUUGUGAAAGCUUGAAUCUGGUAUUGACUUGUGACCAAAAGAACAAGCUUGACAAAAAGAGAAAUAGAUCUUUAAAAAAACUGGUGGAAAAAUUGUUUUUAACCAUCAGUGUUUGUUUUUUUCUAAACCAUGAGAAGCACUAAGCAUUGUGUAAUUUUUGUGGUCGUUUUUAUUUAUUAAAAUUCUCAUGGGAAGCUCGUGUAAAUGGGUUUUUCCUUGAGUUCUUGUGUUAAUUGAUGGAGAAAUUAAUUUUCCAAUCAGUUUAUCUUGUUCCAGCCAUUAAAACUCCAUAGUCUUGGGAUUCUUGGUGUUUUUGGCUGGCAUUUGCUUUGGCUUAACUCAAGAAAACAGAGAAAAACUCUUGAGCAAAAUUUCUUUUCCCAUUCUCCUUUGCUUCCGCUUAUUCUCUAUUCUCCAUUCUCUCAUUCUCUUUAUUCUUCCCAAUAUUCUCUUUAUUCUCCAUUAUUCUCCUUAUUCUCCAAAUUCUCUUUUAUUCUUCUGCUUAUUCUCUAUACUCUAACAAAUACAAUCUCUUGUUUUAGAAUCUGUCUUCAAAUUUAAACAGGUUCGGGUCUUAAAAAGGAUGGUGUUUGGCUCGUUUGCUAUCUCAAGAAGAAGUGGCGAGUUUGAGAGGUCUGAAUGGGUCAUGUGAGCUGGAAGUCAGCUGGUGGCUGUAUUCAGAUCCAUUAAGGCUUCAAAGAAGCCAAAAGAAGGCGCAGCAACAAGCUUAGAAUUGAUCAAGAGGGCCAUCAAGUUUCAGAGACCACAAGACAAGCCCAACCUAGUUUAACCUGGCUGACUUGAAGAUGGCAGACCAAAGAGGCUGACCUGAAGAUAGCAGACCCAAGGUGGCUAAGGUGGAAGUUCAAGUGGAGAAACAAGCUGAUGGAAGGCUAUGAAUCAAUUCCAAAGUCUUUGCGAGUGCCUUUGGUUUAAGAGCUGAAGAUCGGAUGUGCACAAGAUGUCAAGAUCUAUUUUGCACAUAAUUUCAAGGCUCAAGACAUGUUUAGUGUGCGGGGGAGCUUAAUUGGUGACCAAACCGCAUUUCAAAGUCCUCACAUUCCUCUUCAUAUAAAUCAGACUAAACUCUAAACUCUAUCCCAUUUUUUAAUUUGCCUUUAUUUCAUUCCCUUAAGUUCAUUUGCGGAUUCUUUCUAUGAAUUGCUUAGUCUAUUGUACAUCUUUUAUUCUUGAUAUUCCUCAUAGGAUUUGAAGUUCCUCAUUUGGUUAUUUGUUUCUUUGAUAUUCCUUAUGGCAUUACUUAAUCUUUUCUUCUUUAUCUCUUGUUUAAGGGAAAAAGGAGACCAUAAGAGCCUCAAAGAGACCAAAGAAAGCUUCAAAUGCUGGAGAGCCUCAAAGGAGAUGACAAAGAACGGAUUCAUGCGAAGAGAGUUCAAGGCAAGAAGAGCUAAAGGAAUGGAAACACUUGGGAGAGGAGCCGGUUCAAAAGCAAAUUCAAACCAAGGCCAUAGCUACAUCAAGCAACCGCUAAACUAUACUCUUUUUCCCUUCAUAAAGUUUUAUCCCAAGAGGUUUUCUUUAUGAAGGUUUUUUAAUGAGGUAGUUUGGCGUGUUGCAAGCUUGGCCUCUGGUCCUCUUUGGCGUCUCGACGACCAAGCUUGCGGGGGAGUAUUAGAGUGAAAGAAGGAAAGGAGAGGUGAGGCCGAAGUCAACAAGACAAGGCCGAUCAUCUCCAAGUCAAAGAAGAGGAAGAAGAGGAGUGUCAAGGCCAAUGACAUCAAGACAAGGCCGAAGACAACUCCAAGAUCUCUCAAAGAAGAUAAAAAGAAGACAAGACAAGGCUGAAGAAGCUAUUGAUCAAGUCUAGCCUCGGCCUAAAGAAGAAGAAGAACUGUACGGCCAAGUCAACUCCAAGAGGUGUCCGUACAAGUCUAAGGUUGUGUAAGGCCGAGGCCCAUUAGAUAAGAAGAAGAAGAGGACGCCAAGAAAGCCUAAAGAAUGCAAGGAAUAAGGCCCAUAAGUGACAAGAAGAGGAGGGAAACGAAUUCAAAUUCAAGUCUGCUCUCACAUGUGACUAAAGUCACAUGUGACCGUUUAUGAGCUGUCACUUUCAGCUCUUAACAAGACAAAAACGCUCUCUUUAUGUCACUCUCAGUCUUGGCUCAUGUGUUAGGGCUUCCUCUCUUCCUUUCUCUCUAUAAAAAGAGAUGUAACCGAGCUUGUAAAUGUUACGCAGAAUCAAUGAAGUGAUUUCUCUCUUUUAUCUUGUUCUUCAUUCUAUUUCGCAAUGUAGAGUCCUUAGAGAAAAUCGUUUGUAGUGACUGCCCUUAAGGCAGCCUUAUCACUUCAUAAACACUCACUAAACUCUUCUUUAUUUGCUUCUCUCAUUUAGAUUACUGAGUCUUAAAUCCGCUGCAUCUCAAGAACACAAACUCUCUAUGUAUUGUGUUCAUUGCUUAGAUUAGUCUCAAACUAGAUGCUUUCCCUUUAUAGAAUCGUUUUCUUCCUCAUAGAUUCGGUUCUACUUAUGUUUAUUGUGUGGAUUCCAUCACAAGUUGAUGGUCUCUUCUCUCUCUUGAGAUCGAGUUUAUUUUGUGCGGGUUAAGUGGUUUCAUUCACCAAGUGAAUGCUUCCACCAUUUGUUGAGCUUUGUCUCAUAAAUCCCAACAUAGGAGUCCAUGAAGCUGUUUAGAAAGCUAAUUUUGUGUCCUUCUUCUUUCUCUAUCCUUCAACCUGCAAUCUUCUGGAGGUAGCAGCUGUUGAUAAACCAAAGAUGCAUCUGUGGGACACAGACAUCAUGAGAAUCACUCGACACCCUCAGGUAUUGAAACAUUUCCUUAGUCAGCUAUCAUGAGAAUCUUCUCUAGAUGGUUGGAUAAAUCGUUUGGUGUUUGGCACAUAUACCCUGGAUUGGAAACACAGUAACUGCAUCAGCUUCUCUCGGUUUGAUUGCACAACAUUUGUUUGGGGCUUGGAAUGAAGACAUGAGAUUAGGUAAAAGAUACGGAGAGGGUUUUGAAGGCAUCAAGAAGAGAACAAGUGUAGUUCCUUUUGCUGCCAUUUUUAAAGGACGCCAAGUUUUGCUUGAGGAUUACUACAAAGAAUUAAUGUAAGGUAGAUUACCAGAGUUUGUAAGUUCUUUGGUGAGAUGUUAUCUUGGAUGUUUUGUUUUA